UUUUUUUUUUUAAAUAUUACUAUUAAGGUUUAUUUUAUUUCAGUUUUAUUUAUUUGUAGUUUCAGUAAUUUUAGUGCUUUAACUUAAAAUUACAUUUCACUUAGCUGCCAAGGCAAUAUUUCUCAUUUUCAUUUAAUUAGUUUUUCAUGUAAUAUUUAUAGUUUAUUUUAUUUCAGAUUUUUUUAAACUAUAUGUUUUUGCCAUUUGCCAUAUUUUUUUUUAAUAUUGCUAUGUUUAUUUUUAUUUCAGUUUUAUUUAUUUUUUAUUUUCAAUGUUCUUCUAAAAUCAGAGCAGAACAUGAUUUCCUGCGUUCUGAUUGGCUGACAGGACGUGAGGCUGAAAGCAGCAAACUCAGCACAUCAGCGCUGCAUCAGCAGAUCCUCCAUCACACCUUCAUCCUCAAACACUUCUCAUCCGUUUGUCAUCCGGGCACAGCUAUUAUUCAUCCGUCCUCUUGUUCCCCUGCGCUCCUGUCGUGUGAUGAAUCAGGAGAUCUUCUGUGUAUUAUCCUCUCGUUUGUCUCUUUGAAUUGAAGUGUGGAAGAUGCAGAAACAUUCAUCUUUCCUGAAGGAGUACAGGAGCAUCAGUGCUGGGAAACAUUCUCAUCAGAUCAAACACUGAAACACACUCAACCUGUCGAGUUUUACACUCGUCUUGCACCAAAGAACAAGUCAUUGUGCACCAGGGUUAUUAAAACCAUCAAAUAAUGUUUGUUGCUUGAAAUAAAAUAAACCU
ensembl:lncRNA